GUGUAAAUUUAUUUAAAUGGCUCCUGACAAAUGUUAUUUAAUUAGGUGGUGGAAAACUUUAGAUGUUGAGAAUAAGCCACCUUUUGCAAGAGAUAGAGUGGUAGAGCUAUACUUUUGGGUAAUGGGAGUGUAUUUUGAGCCUGAUUAUGGGUUGGCUAGGAGGAUUCUGUGCAAAGUGAUUGCCAUGUGUUCCAUUCUUGAUGACACCUAUGAUGUACAGGGUACAAUUGAAGAACUUGAGCUUUUUACUGCCGCAAUGGCGCAAUUGAGAGAUGGGAUGUCGGCGCUAUGCAUCAACUGCCAGAGUAUAUGAAAAUUAUUUAUGGGGCUCUCCUUGACGUUUACGGAGAAAUUGAGAAAGAUAUGGCCUUCAAAGGAAAAUUAUACCGCCUUGAUUACGCAAAAGAUGUGAUGAAGAUUUUAGGGAGAAAUUUCUUCAACGAAGCUAAAUGGUGUGACAAAAAAUAUGUACCAACAAUUGAAGAGUAUUUGUCUGUUGCAUUACUUACCAGUGGUCACCUAACUUCAGUUGCCACAUCAUUUGUGGGGAUGGGAGAUGUAGUAACCGAAGAAUCAUUUGAAUGGGUACUCAGCAAUCCCAAAAUCGUUAAGGCCUCCGCAAUAAUUGG